UUCCAAAGUGUUGAGUGCAGUUCAGGGUAGCUUCCCUGUUCUGUUAACUGAACUGCGGGACAUUGCAACAGGCUAAGAACUAUGAUUGGAUAGAAAUUAUCAGUCUAUUCAUGUAUCUCCCAGCCUACAAAA
ensembl:snoRNA SNORA36B small nucleolar RNA, H/ACA box 36B